ACAUUAACUCUGAUCAUCAUGCUGUCUUUGCUCACAUCUGGAUUUACUCUGCUGGUUCUGCUUAUAGGAACAGGUGUAAAAUGUCAACAACUCACUGCAGCAAAGACUGAGGAGUUCACCUUAGAGGGCGGCUCUGUUACUCUGUCCUGCAGUUACACCAAAGGUUCUGUGGAGUUUUUGUUCUGGUAUCGACAAUAUCCUGGAAAACCUCCAGAGUUCCUGAAGUCUCAUUCACCAUUUGGUGAACCAGAACACCUGGACAGACUGAAAUUUGAAGGAAACAAGGAAGAAAUGAAUAUGACCAUCUCCUCUGCUGCAGUGACAGACUCUGCUGUGUACUACUGUGCUGUGAGGCCCACAGUGACAGGAAACACCAGAACUCUGUACAAAAACCUGAAUUAUUUAAGAAAAUCCACAAGAGGGCAGUGAAAAGCCUUAUGCCUCUACUAUUUGCUGAGACUUU